AUUGAACGCUGGCGGAAUGCUUUACACAUGCAAGUCGAACGGCAGCACGGACUUCGGUCUGGUGGCGAGUGGCGAACGGGUGAGUAAUACAUCGGAACGUGCCCAGUCGUGGGGGAUAACGCAGCGAAAGCUACGCUAAUACCGCAUACGAUCUAAGGAUGAAAGCGGGGGAUCGCAAGACCUCGUGCGAUUGGAGCGGCCGAUGGCAGAUUAGGUAGUUGGUAGGGUAAAGGCCUACCAAGCCGACGAUCUGUAGCUGGUCUGAGAGGAUGAUCAGCCACACGGGGACUGAGACACGGCCCAGACUCCUACGGGAGGCAGCAGUGGGGAAUUUUGGACAAUGGGCGCAAGCCUGAUUCAGCCAUUCCGCGUGCAGGAUGAAGGCCUUCGGGUUGUAAACUGCUUUUGUACAGAACGAAAACUGUUUGGCUAAUACCCGAAUAGGAUGACGGUACCUGAAGAAUAAGCACCGGCUAACUACGUGCCAGCCGCCGCCGUAA
rnacentral:rRNA from 1 species